GUUCGGAAGCGGGGACUUCAUGACGCCGAGGCCCGCAGGCACAUCUGCGUGUUUAUGGGUGGCGACGAAGCAUAUAUCCCGUCUGUUGAGCCAAACUGUAUUAUACAGGCCUACGCAACUAUUACGGCAGACUCUUUGGAAGGCGCACAUUUUCGCACUUAUAUGUGACGGCUGCGGCCCGACGUGCGCUUAGUUCAUGGAUCCAAGAUAGCUGACAAGGCAACAUCCUUGAAGAGAUCAUCGCAAAGGAUGGAGCAGCAUAUAAUUCCGUACAAGAACUACAGAAGAGACUCUGGCACCAGACUCUACAGGAGCGGCAAGCAUAUGACGAUUCAGCCAGCGUGGAAAUGGUGAUACGAACUCGACUUGGUGCAGUGGACCUCGCGGAAGGAUGAAGGAGACGACGACGAAGGCGGGCGCGUCGUGAUGACGAAAAAAACGAAGGAAUAUAGUCUCGUGUUACUCACACGA